rnacentral:rRNA from 1 species
UAAUACGAAGGGGGCGAGCGUUAUUCGGAAUCACUGGGCGUAAAGCGUGCGUAGGCGGUUUUGUAAGUUAGAAGUGAAAGCCCAGGGCUCAACCCUGGAAUUGCUUUUAAAACUACAAAACUAGAAUCUCGGAGAGGAUAGCGGAAUUUCCAGUGUAGCAGUGAAAUGCGUAGAUAUUGGAAGGAACACCAGUGGCGUAAGCGGCUAUCUGGACGAGUAUUGACGCUGAGGCACGAAAGCGUGGGGAUCAAACAGG